CCCUUAGAUGUUCUGGGCCGCACGCGCGCUACACUGUUCGACGCAGCGAGUCUUAACCUUGACCGAAAGGUUUGGGUAAUCUUCAGCAAAGUCGAACGUGAUGGGGAUCGAUCAUUGCAAUUAUUGAUCGUGAACGAGGAAUUCCUAGUAAGUGCAAGUCAUCAGCUUGCGCUGAUUACGUCCCUGCCCUUUGUACACACCGCCCGUCGCUACUACCGAUUGAAUGGUUUAGUGAGAUCUCUGGAUUGACGCUGGCUAGGGGGCAACCCUUGGCCAGACUGUUGAGAAACUGCUCAAACUUGAUCAUUUAGAGGAAGUAAAAGUCGUAACA
rnacentral:rRNA from 1 species